UACGGGGGGGGCAAGCGUUGUUCGGAAUUACUGGGCGUAAAGGGCUCGUAGGCGGCCAACUAAGUCAGACGUGAAAUCCCCAGGCUUAACCUGGGAACUGCGUCGGAUACUGGAUGGCUUGAAUUCGGGAGAGGGAUGCAGAAUUCCAGGUGUAGCGGUGAAAUGCGUAGAUAUCUGGAGGAAUACCGGUGGCGAAGGCGGCAUCCUGGACCGAGAUUGACGCUGAUGAGCGAAAGCUAGGGGAGCAAACGGG
rnacentral:rRNA from 1 species